AAAGGGCGCGUAGGCGGCCGAUUAAGUCGGGGGUGAAAGCCUGUGGCUCAACCACAGAAUUGCCUUCGAUACUGGUUGGCUUGAGACCGGAAGAGGACAGCGGAACUGCGAGUGUAGAGGUGAAAUUCGUAGAUAUUCGCAAGAACACCAGUGGCGAAGGCGGCUGUCUGGUCCGGUUCUGACGCUGAGGCGCGAAAGCGUGGGGAGCAAACAGGAUUAGAUACCCGUGU
rnacentral:rRNA from 1 species